GUUUCUGGUCACUCUCCUGACUGCUUGGAACAAUGGCAGAAACUCCAAAACCAAUGCCAAAACUUCCAAAGCUUAGCUUCGAUCGUUCAGAUUCAGGAACCUGGAUGUGGUUUGGAAGAAUAACAAGCUGACUUUUUGAUACAUGCAACUCUUCCAAUUUCUUCUGCAGUUUUAAAGUAGCUUCUUCUGAAUCAAGGACCCUCGAAACAGGUUCUAAAUGUUCGGUGCUAUCAGUGGUAACACCU
rnacentral:misc_RNA from 1 species